rnacentral:rRNA from 1 species
UUUAUUGGAGAGUUUGAUCCUGGCUCAGGAUGAACGCUGGCGGCGUGCCUAAUACAUGCAAGUCGAGCGAAUGGAUUAAGAGCUUGCUCUUAUGAAGUUAGCGGCGGACGGGUGAGUAACACGUGGGUAACCUACCCAUAAGACUGGGAUAACUCCGGGAAACCGGGGCUAAUACCGGAUAAUAUUUUGAACUGCAUAGUUCGAAAUUGAAAGGCGGCUUCGGCUGUCACUUAUGGAUGGACCCGCGUCGCAUUAGCUAGUUGGUGAGGUAACGGCUCACCAAGGCGACGAUGCGUAGCCGACCUGAGAGGGUGAUCGGCCACACUGGGACUGAGACACGGCCCAGACUCCUACGGGAGGCAGCAGUAGGGAAUCUUCCGCAAUGGACGAAAGUCUGACGGAGCAACGCCGCGUGAGUGAUGAAGGCUUUCGGGUCGUAAAACUCUGUUGUUAGGGAAGAACAAGUGCUAGUUGAAUAAGCUGGCAC